rnacentral:SRP_RNA from 1 species
GCUGGGCAUGGUGGCGCGCGCCUGUAGUCCCAGCUACUUGGGAGGUUGAGGUGGGAGGAUUGCUUGAGUCCAGGAGUUCUGGGCUGCAGUGUGCUAUGCCGAUCGGGUAUCCGCACUAAGUUUGGCAUCAAUAUGGUGACCUCCUGGGAGCGGGGGACCACCAGGUUGCCUAAGGAGGGGUGAACCGGCCCAGGUCGGAAACGGAACAGGUCAAAACUCCCAUGCUGAUCAGUAGUGGGAUCGCGCCUGUGAAUAGCCACUGCACUCCAGCCUGGGCAAUAUAGUGAGACCCUGUCUCUA